UACGUAGGGCGCAAGCGUUGUCCGGAAUUAUUGGGCGUAAAGAGCUCGUAGGCGGUUUGUCACGUCCGCUGUGAAAACUCGGGGCUUAACCCCGAGCCUGCUUCUGAUACGGGCAGACUAGAGGUAUGCAGGGGAGAACGGAAUUCCUGGUGUAGCGGUGAAAUGCGCAGAUAUCAGGAGGAACACCGGUGGCGAAGGCGGUUCUCUGGGCAUUACCUGACGCUGAGGAGCGAAAGUGUGGGGAGCGAACAGGG
rnacentral:rRNA from 1 species